rnacentral:ncRNA from 30 species
UGAUGAAAAAUACUAAAGGAAAGCAGGGUGUAAAUCCCUCACUGUACCGCAACGGUAAAAGUCCGAGCGCUUUAGUAUCUUUCACCCAAUCCGUGUUAAUUUACG